AGUGAACGCUGGCGGUAGGCCUAACACAUGCAAGUCGAACGGCAGCACAGUAAGGGCUUGCUCUUACGGGUGGCGAGUGGCGUACGGGUGAGGAAUACAUCGGAAUCUACUUUUUCGUGGGGGAUAACGUAGGGAAACUUACGCUAAUACCGCAUACGACCUACGGGUGAAAGCAGGGGAUCUUCGGACCUUGCGCGAUUGAAUGAGCCGAUGUCGGAUUAGCUAGUUGGCGGGGUAAAGGCCCACCAAGGCGACGAUCCGUAGCUGGUCUGAGAGGAUGAUCAGCAACACUGGAACUGAGACACGGUCCAGACUCCUACGGGAGGCAGCAGUGGGGAAUAUUGGACAAUGGGCGCAAGCCUGAUCCAGCCAUACCGCGUGGGUGAAGAAGGCCUUCGGGUUGUAAAGCCCUUUUGUUGGGAAAGAAAAGCAGCAGGUUAAUACCCCGCUGUUCUGACGGUACCCAAAGAAUAAGCACCGGCUAACUUCGUG
rnacentral:rRNA from 1 species